rnacentral:rRNA from 1 species
UACGAAGAGGGCUAGCGUUGCUCGGAAUUACUGGGCGUAAAGCGUAUGCAGGCGGAUCGUUAAGUCGGGGGUGAAAUCCCGAGGCUCAACCUCGGAACUGCCUUCGAUACUGGCGACCUUCGAGUCCGGGAGAGGUGAGUGGAACUCCGAGUGUAGAGGUGAAAUUCGUAGAUAUUCGGAAGAACACCAGUGGCGAAGGCGGCUCACUGGCCCGGUACUGACGCUGAGAUACGAAAGCGUGGGGAGCAAACAGG